rnacentral:rRNA from 1 species
GAUGAACGCUGGCGGCGUGCCUAAUACAUGCAAGUCGAGCGAACAGAUGAGGAGCUUGCUCCUCUGACGUUAGCGGCGGACGGGUGAGUAACACGUGGAUAACCUAUCUAUAAGACUGGGAUAACUUCGGGAAACCGGAUCUAACACCGGAUAAUAUAUUGAACCGCAUGGUUCAUCAGUGAAAGACGGUUUUGCUGUCACUUAUAGAUGGAUCCGCGCCGCAUUAGCUAGUUGGUAAGGUAACGGCUUACCAAGGCGACGAUGCGUAGCCGACCUGAGAGGGUGAUCGGCCACACUGGAACUGAGACACGGUCCAGACUCCUACGGGAGGCAGCAGUAGGGAAUCUUCCGCAAUGGGCGAAAGCCUGACGGAGCAACGCCGCGUGAGUGAUGAAGGUCUUCGGAUCGUAAAGCUCUGUUAUUAGGGAAGAACAAAUGCGUGAGUAACUAUGCACGUCUUGACGGUACCUAAUCAGAAAGCCACGGCUAACUACGUG